rnacentral:rRNA from 1 species
AUUGAACGCUGGCGGCAUGCCUUACACAUGCAAGUCGAACGGCAGCACGGGAGCAAUCCUGGUGGCGAGUGGCGAACGGGUGAGUAAUAUAUCGGAACGUGCCCAGUAGUGGGGGAUAACCCGGCGAAAGUCGGACUAAUACCGCAUACGACCUACGGGUGAAAGCGGGGGAUCGCAAGACCUCGCGCUAUCGGAGCGGCCGAUAUCAGAUUAGCUUGUUGGUGGGGUAAAAGCCUACCAAGGCGACGAUCUGUAGCUGGUCUGAGAGGACGACCAGCCACACUGGGACUGAGACACGGCCCAGACUCCCACGGGAGGCAGCAGUGGGGAAUUUUGGACAAUGGGCGCAAGCCUGAUCCAGCCAUGCCGCGUGCGGGAAGAAGGCCUCGGUUGUAA